GUUGACCUCGGAUCAGGUAGGGAUACCCGCUGAACUUAAGCAUAUCAAUAAGCGGAGGAAAAGAAACCAACAGGGAUUGCCCCAGUAACGGCGAGUGAAGCGGCAACAGCUCAAAUUUGAAAUCUGGCCCCCCCGCGGGCCCGAGUUGUAAUUUGCAGAGGAUGCUUUUGGCGCGG
rnacentral:rRNA from 1 species